GACAGAGGAUGCAAGCGUUAUCCGGAAUGAUUGGGCGUAAAGCGUCUGUAGGUGGCUUUUCAAGUCUGCCGUCAAAUCCCAGGGCUCAACCCUGGACAGGCGGUGGAAACUACUAAGCUGGAGUACGGUAGGGGCAGAGGGAAUGUCCGGUGGAGCAGUCAAGUGCGCUGAGAUCGGAAAGAACACCAACGGCGAAAGCACUCUGCUGGGCCGACACUGACACUGAGAGACGAAAGCUAGGGGAG
rnacentral:rRNA from 1 species